rnacentral:rRNA from 1 species
AGGGGUAACAUAGGAAAGCUUGCUUUCUUGAUGACGACCGGCGCACGGGUGCGGAACGCGUAUGGAACCUGCCCCUGUCAGGGGAAUAGCCCAGGGAAACUUGGAUUAAUGCCCCAUGGUACCGCGAUAUCGCAUGAUAUUGCGGUUAANGAUUUUANCGAACAGGGAUGGCCAUGCGUACCAUUAGUUAGUUGGUGGGGUAACGGCCCACCAAGGCAGCGAUGGUUAGGGGCCCUGAGAGGGGGAUCCCCCACACUGGUACUGAGACACGGACCAGACUCCUACGGGAGGCAGCAGUGAGGAAUAUUGGACAAUGGGCGGGAGCCUGAUCCAGCCAUGCCGCGUGCAGGAUGACGGCCCUAUGGGUUGUAAACUGCUUUUAUACGGGAAGAAACGCACCUACGUGUAGGUGUCUGACGGUACCGUAAGAAUAAGGACCGGCUAACUCCGUGCCAGCAGCCGCGGUAAUACGGAGGGUCCGAGCGUUAUCCGGAAUCAUUGGGUUUAAAGGGUCCGUAGGCGGGCCUGUAAGUCAGGGGUGAAAGUUUGUGGCUCAACCAUAAAAUUGCCUUUGAUACUGCAGGUCUUGAGUCAUGGUGGGGUCGCCGGAACAUGUGGUNGUAGCGGUGAAAUGCAUAGAUAUCACAUAGAACACCGAUCGCGAAGGCNGGUGGCCNACCAUGUACUGACGCUNAUGGACNAAAGCGUGGGUAGCGAACGGGAUUAGAUACCCCGGUAGUCCACGCCGUANACNANGGANAC